CUACGCAACGUUCGUCGACGUAGGGUUAGUCGGUCCUAAGGCGAGGCCAGAAGGCGUAGUCGAUGGAUAAGCAGUUAAUAUUCUGCUACUUUGGCAAAAUCGUUUUAAAGCAAAGGGAAGACGAAAAUGGAAAAUUCCUAGGUCGAAAUGAUACGGCCCCUAAAAAGUAAGAAAGUAAAAUGUGGAAAAUCCCUUUUUAUGAUUAUUCGAGCUUUGAUGGUUAGCUGCCGCAAGGUGGCAAAAGGAAAAGUUUCAAUUUCCAAGAAAUUUUCUCGUUGUUAGAUUUUAUCAAAACCGUACCUAAACCGACACAGGUGGACUGGUAUUAGAGUACCAAGGCGAGCGAGAAAACUAUCCUUAAGGAACUCGGCAAUAUAACUGGACGUACCUUUGGUAGAUGUCCUCCCUGGCCGUCUUUCAGACGGCUACAGUUGACAUUUGACAUCUGACAACUGACAAAAUUGGAAUUUUUUAUUUACAAAUUUUCCGCUUAAGUCAAUUGUCAAUUGUUAUUUGUUAUUUGUUGCCGCCCGACGGGCGGCUGGGGCGCAGUUAACGACGCCAGGCGACUGUUUAACAAAAACACAGGUCUCUGCAAAGUCGAAAGACGAAGUAUAGAGGCUGACACCUGCCCAGUGCUCGUAGGUUAAUCGUCUGAGGUGAUCUGUCUUUGGACAGUGAGCUUCGGAUGCAAGCCCGGGUAAACGGCAGCAGUAACUAUAACUGUUCUAAGGUAGCGAAAUUCCUUGUCGGGCAAGUUCCGACCCGCACGAAAGGUUGAACGACUCGGCGACUGUCUUGAGGAUAGACUCGGCGAAAUUGCAAUGGCUGUGAAGAUGCGGCCAACUUGCACCAGGACAAAAAGACCCCGUGGAGCUUUACUGCAGCUUGGCAUUGAUUUGGAGAUUAGACUUGUAUAGCGUAGGAGGGAGCCAGGUACCGUUUGGUACCUGGCGACAAUGUAACACCUCCCGGUUUGCUUUUCAAAUCUUACCGUUUGUCCUAAUAAAAUACGGGAGACGGGACAGUGUCUGGUGGGCAGUUUGACUGGGGCGGUCGCCUCCUAAAAGGUAACGGAGGCGUACAAAGGUCGACUCAACUCCUACAGAAACGGAGCGUUAGAGUGCAAAGGCAUAAGUCGGCUUAACUGUAAGUGGUACAUCACGAGCAGAUGCGAAAGCAGGUCUUAGUGAUCCUCACGUUGCUUAUGGGAGCGCGUGAGCUUAACGGAUAAAAGCUACCCCGGGGAUAACAGGCUGAUCUUCCCCAAGAGUCCAUAUCGACGGGAAGGUUUGGCACCUCGAUGUCGGCUCACCGUAUCCUCCCGCUGAAGUAGGCGGGAAGGGUUGGGCUGUUCGCCCAUUAAAACGGUACGCGAGCUGGGUUCAGAACGGCGUGAGCCAGUUCGGCCUCUAUCCGGUGCAAGCGUUUGAUACUUGAGGGGGGUCACCACUAGUACGAGAGGACCGUGGUGAGUUAGCCUCUAGUGUGCCAGUUGUCACAUCAGUGGCAGUGCUGGGUAGCCACGCUAAUAACUGAGAAGCGCUGAAAGCAUCUAAGCGCCAAACAGGCCCCAAGACUAGGUAUCUGUAAGAUCCGUUGUAGACUACGACGUUGAUAGGCGGCAGGUGUAAAGCAAGUAAUUGUUG
rnacentral:rRNA from 1 species